ACAUAAGAGGCGUCAGAUAAGUGGGUGGAACUACCAAAUGAAAAUAAACAAGAGGUGUCAGGUAAGUGGGUGGGAACUACCAAAUGAAAAUAAACACAUUGGUGUCCCUGAGUUUCUGCAAGUUACUACAUCAUUUCAUGAAAGAGGAACCAUAUGGAAAGGACAGUCAUAAAUUUGGCAGAAUUCUUCAUCAUCAAGUACUACAAUGCUCACUGCUCAGUAGAAAUUUGAGGCUGUAGAGAACUAGAGAUAUCUAGUAAUGAAUACGAACCUGCCGAAAGAGACAUACUCUACACAGAAGGGGUCACUCAAGGAAAUGGAGUAACAAUGACUUUUUCUCUUCUCUCUUUCUCUCUCUCUUUUCAUUUUUGCUGGCAGUAUUUUAAAAAAAUAUGAAAAAAAAAUAUUUCAUUUUCACUAGCUGCAAUAGCAAAAAUAUAAAAAAAAAAGAGAAAUUAUAGUGUACAAAGCUUAUUUCGUACAGAAAUAAAGAGAUUCUCGUUUUUUUAAUGGAUAAAUGACACAUGGCACUAUUUUCCUUGUGAGGGAGCAACUGAGCCGAGGCUGUUUUAGGGGUGAAGGGUGGCUUAUAAUGUGAUGGAACUGCAACUGUACAAAGGAUUAGGCACCAUGACUGAAAUGAUGUGCAAUUCCAUUUCACUGAUGAGAUGUCAGACAUGAGUGAUGCAUUGAAGCUGGUGCAAACUAUGCUAAAGUUAAAGGUUCAGGUUGAAAAAUAUUCAAUUGGGAGAAAAAACACAUAUACACAGAAACCGCUAAACUCCUGCCACAGUUUUUAGCCAUUUUGCAUAUCAACAUAAACCGCUACAUCCCUACAGCGGUUUAUGCACAUUUUCAAGUCACAUACAAACAGUGACAUCCUACCGCGGAUUAUGUGCAGUUUGGCUUCGAACGUAAUCCGCGACACUCUUGUAGCGGAUUACGUGUAUUUUGUAAACCGCAAUACCCCUGUCGCAGUUUACAUAGUUUAUGGAAAAAAUGCAUUUUGGUAUCAACUUUGAAAAAUGUGUAUUCUGG